CGGGCUUGGCUCAACCCG
rnacentral:snRNA from 1 species